rnacentral:rRNA from 1 species
CAGCCGCCACGGUAAUACGUAGGGUGCAAGCGUUAAUCGGAAUUACUGGGCGUAAAGCGUGCGCAGGCGGUUAUAUAAGACAGAUGUGAAAUCCCCGGGCUCAACCUGGGAACUGCAUUUGUGAAUGUAUAGCUAGAGUACGGCAGAGGGGGAUGGAAUUCCGCGUGUAGCAGUGAAAUGCGUAGAUAUGCGGAGGAACACCGAUGGCGAAGGCAAUCCCCUGGGCCUGUACUGACGCUCAUGCACGAAAGCGUGGGGAGCAAACAGGAUUAGAUACCCCGGUAGUCCCUGUCUCUUAUAC